GGAGGGGCUGGGGAGGCAAGGACUUGAGAAGGAAUAUUUUUCCACAGCAUCUUCGCAGCGAGCAGGAACUCACCGCUCAUGAGGUGGAGAUUGACCAUUUCGAACGGGGAUCAAACGGGCAUUUGAGGGGAAUAGAGUCGCUGGGGGCUAUGGGGAGAGUGCGGGGGGAGAAUGGGACUGACUGGAUUGCUCGACUGAGACAGCCAGCAUGGACUCGAUGGAUCAAAUGGAGCCCCACGCUGUGCCUUAAUUACACGAUAAAUGUCGAUUCUUAAUACUUAAAAUUGAGGAUAAAAGCUAUCCAGUUACCCCAUUCAAUGCUCUGCAAAGAUUGGAUUACCAUAUGAGGGAAGACGACUGCAGUAUUCUUCGGAGUUCAAGAGAAUUAGAGGCAACAUAUUUCAAACGUGUAAGAUCCUGAGGGGAGUUGACUGGGGAGGAUGUGGAGAGGAUGAUUCCCUUUGUGGGAGAAUCUAAAACUAGGAGGCCACUGUUUAAAAAUAGAGGGGUCUGAUUAAAACAGAAACUUUCUCUCA